rnacentral:rRNA from 1 species
UACCCGCAGCCCAAGUGGUAGUCGGUUUUAUUGGGCCUAAAGCGUCCGUAGCCGGUCUGGUAAAUGCCUGGGUAAAUCGUGGGGCUUAACCUCACGAAUUCCGGGUAGACUGUCAGACUUGGGACCGGUUGAGGGAGAGGGUACUCCGGGGGUAGGGGUGAAAUCCUGUAAUCCUUGGAGGACCACCGGUGGCGAAAGCGCUCUCCUAGGACGGGUCCGACGGUGAGGGACGAAAGCCAGGGGAGCAAACCGGAUUAGAUACCCGGGUAGUCCUGGCCGUAAACGAUGUGGGCUUGGUAUUGGAGGUUCCACGAGAGCGUCCAGUGCCGUAGCGAAGGCGUUAAGCCCACCGUCUGGGGAGUAUGGUCGCAAGGCUGAAACUUAAAGGAAUUGGCGGGGGAGCACAGCAACGGGAGGAGCGUGCGGUUU